CCUACGGGUGGCAGCAGUGGGGGAUAUUGCACAAUGGGGGAAACCCUGAUGCAGCGACGCCGCGUGAGUGAAGAAGUAUUUCGGUAUGUAAAGCUCUAUCAGCAGGGAAGUAAAUGACAGUACCUGACCAAGAAGCUCCGGCGAACUACGUGCCAGCAGCCGCGGUAAUACGGAGGGGGCAAGCGUUAUCCGGAUUUACUGGGUGUAAGGGGAGCGUAGAGGGUUUUGUAAGUCUGGAGUGAAAGCCCGGGGCCCAACCCCGGGACUGCAUUGGAAACUGUGUAACUGGAGUGCAGGAGAGGUAAGUGGAAUUCCUGGUGUAGCGGUGAAAUGCGUAGAUAUUAGGAGGAACACC
rnacentral:rRNA from 1 species